rnacentral:rRNA from 1 species
UACAGAGACUGCAAGCGUUAUUCGGAUUCACUGGGCGUAAAGGGUGCGCAGGCGGCCAAGUGUGUUAGGCGUGAAAGCCCGGGGCUUAACCUCGGAAUUGCACCUAAAACUACUUGGCUAGAGCAUUGGAGAGGGUAGCGGAAUUCACGGUGUAGCAGUGAAAUGCGUAGAUAUCGUGAGGAACACCAGAGGCGAAGGCGGCUACCUGGACAAUUGCUGACGCUCAUGCACGAAAGCGUGGGGAGCAAACAGG